rnacentral:rRNA from 1 species
GACGAACGCUGGCGGCGUGCUUAACACAUGCAAGUCGAACGGAAAGGCCCUGCUUUUGUGGGGUGCUCGAGUGGCGAACGGGUGAGUAACACGUGAGUAACCUGCCCUUGACUUUGGGAUAACUUCAGGAAACUGGGGCUAAUACCGGAUAGGAGCUCCUGCUGCAUGGUGGGGGUUGGAAAGUUUCGGCGGUUGGGGAUGGACUCGCGGCUUAUCAGCUUGUUGGUGGGGUAGUGGCUUACCAAGGCUUUGACGGGUAGCCGGCCUGAGAGGGUGACCGGCCUCAUUGGGACUGAGAUACGGCCCAGACGCCUACGGGAGGCAGCAGUGGGGAAUAUUGCACAAUGGGCGGAAGCCUGAUGCAGCAACGCCGCGUGCGGGAUGACGGCCUUCGGGUUGUAAACCGCUUUCGCCUGUGACGAAGCGUGAGUGACGGUAAUGGGUAAAGAAGCACCGGCUAACUACGUG